AAGGAGUCUGGCACAAAUAAGGGGUAAAAAGGAGAGAAAAAGAAGGUGUUCAUGGUUGCUUGCUGUAGUGCUAAUGCAGAAUGCACCUUCCGCUCCUGUAUCUAAGGAUACGGCACCUAUGCUGCGGGAGAAAUGUAUUCUCUAUACCAGAACAAUAACUGCAGGCUGUGAGACUGCAGCCAUGCCCCAGUAGGGCAGGCAGAUAGGCAAGUACAGACAUCCACCUGCAUGGUGGAAAAAGGAGGAACCCUAAAGCUUUAAGAUUCACUAAUCAGAAACUGCAGCCUCUGUUGACAUUGUUUCCUGUGCUUGGCUGAUCCACUGGGAUUGGUGGGUCCUCUUGGGUAGUUGGGACUAGCCCCUGUGAGCAUCCUUUGGGAAUCACGGAGCAGUCUCUUUUGCCCUGUGCCCGGAGGUGCAGCUUAUGGAAGAUGGGCCAAGUGACUCUCUCAGUGGCCACCCAAGGCUGCAUCCCAAAGGGACAUGAUCAUUGCCGAUCGACCAGCACAGUGCCUCUCCACAGUGUUUUGAUACCCAUGGGAGUGGGAUCGGGAUCUCUCAGACCCCAGGCAGUACAGCAGGAGGGAACGGGUGCUCUUUGCUCCUCGGCCUUGCGCCGCUGGAGCAGUGAGGGGCUGUGCCCGGGGAGAUGGAUGGGUGAAAACGGGUGAGGCUCUGCUGCACUCUUCUCCUCUGAAGCCAGAGUACCCGGGACAUGAAGCUCCUUCUGGGAAUCCGAGUUACGGGCUGCGCCUCAGAGCGGCGGGGAGGGCGGGGGAGAGCGGAGCGGGACCAAGUCGCCUCUCCUGGGCCAUGCCCCCCUCGCCACCGGGGGGUGGGAGGGCCGGCCGCGCCCGCAGCGGGCGGUUCUCUCACCUAGCGAAUUAUGUACCCGCUAAAAUGAACGGUAUUAAGAAAGGGGACAGACGAUAGACAGGGUGGACACGCCGGUGGCGCAUCCUGCGGCUAAACGGGCCCUCAGGGAGAGUGUCCAGCCGCUCCGCUCCCCGCAGAGAACUGACCGGCGCCUCCCCUCUCCAGGCCGGGUGGGCAGUGCUGCCCUCCUGCGCCCAACCCCUCCUCGCCGCUCCCCCGGGGCAGCUCGGGGGUUGUCGGCCGCAGCCUACGGUGCUGCGUUCGGCCCCGUCAUCACCCUGGUGUGGUGAGCAGCUCGGGGGCUGCCGCUGUGCAGCUGUGUGAGGGCUCGGGCGGCCUGUCGGCACCUGCCUAGCGAAGGGAAGCGGGAGGGGGGGUGGGCCGAGGCACGCCACCCCCGCGGCCGUCCGCAGCCGCGUCGCCCGCCCCCGGCGCGGCGGGGGGCGAGCCGCCGAGUGCUGCUCCCUGGAGUACGGAGCCCGCUCCAGCGCCCGCCCGCUGCGCCGGCGAACAUGAACGAUCAUGGCCGCCUUCGGGCUCCUCAGCUAUGAGCACAGACCGCUCAAGCGGCCGCGCCUGGGGCCGCCUGACGUCUACCCGCAGGACCCGCGCCAGAAGGAGGAUGAACUUACUGCAGUGAAUGUAAAGCAAGGCUUCAGUAAUCAGCCUGCCUUCUCUGGAGAUGAGCAUGGAUCUGCUAGAAAUAUUGUAAUUAAUGCCUCAAAGAUUGGCGCUUACUUUAGCAGCAUACUAGCGGAAAAGCUGAAACUUAACACUUUCCAGGACACAGGAAAGAAGAAACCGCAAGUAAAUGCCAAAGACAACUACUGGCUGGUUACUGCUCGGUCUCAGAGUGCAAUUCACAAUUGGUUCACUGAUUUAGCAGGAAGUAAACCACUGACUCUUUUAGCAAAAAAGGUUCCUAUUCUCAGUAAAAAAGAAGAUGUUUUUGCUUACUUGGCAAAAUAUUCUGUGCCACUGCUGCGAGCAGCAUGGCUGAUCAAAAUGACAUGUGCCUACUACGCUGCUAUUUCUGAAGCUAAGAUCAAGAAACGCCAGGCCACUGACCCAAAUAUUGAAUGGACUCAAAUUAUAACUAAAUACCUUCGAGAGCAACUGGCAAAGGUUGCGGAGUUCUAUCAUGUGACUUCCAGCCAAGGCAACAGCUCUGUAGUGAUGCCUCAAGACAUGGAACAAGCACUGAAGCAGUGGGAAUAUAAUGAAAAAUUGUCAUUUUAUAUGUUUCAGGAAGGAAUGCUUGAGAGACAUGAGUAUUUGACAUGGAUACUGGAUGUUUUGGAAAAAAUCAGACCCACUGAUGAUGAUCUUCUUAAGCUGUUGUUGCCGCUAAUGUUGCAGUAUUCAGAAGAGUUUGUUCAGUCAGCUUACCUAUCCCGUCGCCUUGCUUAUUUUUGUGCCAGACGCCUAUCUUUAUUGCUAAGUGAUGGUCCUAACCUUGUAGCUGCACAUUCUCCUCAUAUGAUUAUUGGACCAAGUAACCCUCCUCUGGCAGCCCCAAGUCCAACUGCCCCUGGUCCCAUGGUGAGCCCGGUACAGCUGGCCUGCUCAGAUUUCCUCUCCUGCCCUCAACACCGUCCACUGGUAUAUGGACUUAGUUGUAUGCUGCAGACUGUAACACUUUGUUGUCCAAGUGCCUUGGUGUGGAAUUAUUCCACAAAUGAAAAUAAGAGCGUUAAUCCAGGUUCACCUCUGGAUUUACUUCAUGUUGCUCCAUCUAGUUUGCCUAUGCCAGGUGGAAAUUCAGCAUUUAAUCAGCAGGUUCGGGCAAAGAUAUAUGAAGUAGAACAGCAGAUAAAACAAAGAGGUCGUGCUGUGGAGGUGCGGUGGUCUUUUGACAAGUGCCAAGAAUCAGCUGCAGGGGUGACCAUUAGCCGCGUUCUACACACCUUAGAAGUGUUGGAUCGACAUUGUUUUGACAGAUCAGAUUCCAGCAAUUCCAUGGAGACACUUUAUAAUAAGAUUUUCUGGGCAAAUCAGAAUAAAGAUAACCAAGAGGUAGCCCCAAACGAUGAAGCUGUGGUAACGCUGCUUUGCGAAUGGGCUGUGAGCUGUAAAAGGUCUGGUAAGCACAGGGCCAUGGCUGUAGCCAAGCUCCUGGAGAAGAGGCAAGCAGAAAUUGAAGCAGAAAGAUGUGGUGAAUCUGAAGUCCUAGAUGAAAAGGAAUCUCUGUCUUCAGCCUCCUUGACAGGUUCCAGUCUUCCUGUUUUUCAGAAUGUCCUGCUAAGGUUUUUAGAUACACAAGCUCCCUCGUUAUCUGACCCAAAUAGUGACCAUGAGAAGACAGAGUUUGUGAAUUUGGUGCUGCUUUUUUCUGAAUUCACUCGUCAUGAUGUUUUCUCCCAUGAUGCUUACAUGUGCACUUUAAUAUCACGUGGAGACUUGUCAAUCACUGCAACUACUAGACCACGUUCACCAAAUGGGGAAACUGUGGAUGAACACUAUUCUAAGGAUCAUGAUGUGAAACUGGAGGAUCAUAGUAUUAUGGAACAUAUGGGCAUUGAUUCAGGAGCCGCUAGUAUUUUUGAUGAUGUAGACAAGAGUGACUUUAAGGCAGAUUUUGGUUCGGAAUUUCCAAUUUUUUCUCCGAUGCCUGGGGAGUCUUGUGAGAAUGUGAACUCUUCCUUAGACAGAAGAAUUUCGGUUACAAGCGAGAAAUCAGUCAAGAGAGAAAGGCUGAGAGAACUCAUUUUCCCAUCCAAUUAUGACCUCCUUCGGCAUUUGCAGUAUGCCACACAUUUCCCUAUACCUCUGGAUGAAUCUUCAAGUCAUGAGUGUAACCAGCGAAUGAUUCUCCUUUAUGGCGUUGGGAAGGAGCGUGAUGAAGCAAGGCAUCAGCUGAAGAAGAUUACCAAAGACAUCCUCAAAAUUCUGAAUAAGAAGAGUACUACUGAAAUGGGUGUUGGGGAUGAAGGGCAGAAAGCCAGGAAGACCAAACAAGAAGCAUUUCCAACCCUAGAGACUGUGUUCACAAAACUACAGCAGCUGUCCUAUUUUGAUCAACAUCAGGUGACAUCUCAGAUCUCCAGUAAUGUUCUUGAACAGAUAACCAGUUUUGCCUCAGGAACAUCGUAUCAUCUUCCCUUGGCUCACCAUAUACAGCUCAUCUUUGAUCUCAUGGAGCCAGCACUGAAUAUCAAUGGACUUAUAGACUUCGCAAUACAGCUGUUGAAUGAGCUGAGUGUUGUGGAGGCAGAGCUGCUGCUGAAGUCGUCCAGCCUGGCAGGAAGCUACACGACAGGGCUGUGUGUCUGCAUUGUUGCUGUUCUGCGCCGUUACCAUGCCUGCCUCAUCCUCAACUCGGAGCAAACUGCACAAGUCUUCGAAGGGUUGUGCGGGGUGGUAAAGCACGUUGUUAAUCCCUCAGAAUGCUCUUCCCCCGAAAGGUGUAUUCUAGCUUAUCUCUAUGAUCUGUACGUGUCCUGUAGUCACCUGAGAAGCAAGUUUGGAGACCUCUUCAGUAGUGCCUGUUCUAAGGUGAAGCAAACGAUAUACAGCAAUGUUCAGCCUUCAAAUUCCAAUUUACUGUGGGACCCAGAGUUCAUGCUAGAUUUUAUUGAGAAUCCUUCUGCUCACAGCAUUAACUACUCAAUGUUGGGCAAGAUCCUGAGUGAUAAUGCUGCCAAUCGCUACAGCUUUGUCUGCAAUGCGCUAAUGAACGUGUGCAUGGGGCACCAAGAUGCAGGAAGGAUUAAUGACAUAGCAAACCUUUGCGCAGAGCUGACGGCAUGCUGCACGGUUCUUAGCUCAGAGUGGUUAGGGGUUGUAAAAGCUCUUUGCUGCUCUUCAAAUCACGUCUGGGGCUUCAAUGAUCUGCUAUGCAGCGUGGAUGUGAGUGAUCUGUCAUUUCACGAUUCCCUGGCCACUUUCAUUGCUAUACUGAUUGCCCGGCAGUGCUUUUCUCUGGAAGAUGUAGUUCAGCAUGUUGCACUGCCUUCUCUUCUUGCAGCUGCCUGUGGAGAUCCAGAUGCUGAGCCUGGGGCAAGGAUGACCUGCCGGCUGCUCCUACACCUCUUCAGGACACCCCAGGUUUGCUUCUUUCCCCAGGGAACAGGCAAAUUAUUUCCUGGAAUUCGUUCUUCUUGUGAUCGUCACCUCUUGGCUGCUGCUCACAACAGUAUAGAAGUGGGAGCUGUGUUUGCAGUCUUAAAAGCAAUUUUAAUGCUUGGUGAUGCUGAAAUUGGCAGCAACAAUGUCAGCUCCUUGAAGAGUGAAGACUUCCAUAUGAGAGGCUUGUUAGAUGAACUCAAUGAGGAUGAAGUCUGGGGCUCUUCUCACACUUUGAAAGCAUGUGGAAAAGCUGUUUCCUUGGAAACUGCUAGUUUAAGCGAGUAUGCUAGAUAUGUACUAAGAACAAUUUGCCAGCAGGAAUGGGUUGGAGAGCACUGUUUAAAAGAACCUGAGAGGUUGUGCACAGACAAAGAUCUUAUUUUGGAUCCUGUUCUUUCAAACAAACAAGCUCAGAAACUGCUUCAACUUAUCUGUUAUCCUCAUGGUAUUAAAGAAUGCACUGAGGGUGACAACCCUCAGAGGCAGCAUAUCAAGUGCAUACUUCAGAACUUAGAUCAGUGGACUCUCCGGCAGUCUUGGUUGGAGCUCCAGCUAAUGAUCAAACAGUGCAUGAAGGAGCCUGGUUCUGGGUCUGUGGCUGAAAUGAACAGCUUGUUGGAUAAUAUUGCAAAGGCGACAAUAGAGGUGUUUCAGCAAUCCGCUGAUCUAAACAAUAACUCUUCUAACUCUGGUAUAGGCCUCUUCAAUCCAAACUCUGUUGGAAAUGCUGACACAAGUAAUACAAGACAGAAUGGUAAAAAGACAUUCCUAAGUUCCUCUGAACGGCGAGGAGUGUGGCUAGUGGCUCCCUUGAUUGCAAAACUGCCUACCUCAGUUCAAGGUAGGGUCUUGAAAGCUGCGGGAGAGGAGCUGGAGAAAGGUCAGCAUUUGGGGUCAUCUUCUAAGAAAGAGAGAGACAGACAGAAACAAAAAAGCAUGUCUCUCUUGAGUCAGCAACCUUUCCUUUCAUUGGUACUUACUUGCCUUAAGGGACAGGAUGAGCAACGGGAAGGGCUUCUAACAUCACUGCAGAAUCAAGUUAAUCAGAUCCUUAGCAACUGGAGGGAAGAACGGUACCACGAUGACGUUAAAGCUAGGCAAAUAAUGCACGAAGCCUUACAACUUCGUCUUAAUUUGGUAGGUGGCAUGUUUGACACUGUGCAGAGGAGUACCCAGUGGACCACGGACUGGGCACUUCUGCUCCUUCAGAUAAUCACUUCAGGAACUGUUGAUUUGCAGACCAACAAUGAACUGUUCACAACCGUGCUCGAUAUGCUGGGUGUCCUCAUCAACGGGACACUUGCCUCAGACUUGUCGAACGCUUCCCAAGGAGGGCCUGAGGAAAACAAAAGGGCUUACAUGAAUUUAGUGAAAAAAUUAAAAAAAGAGCUGGGAGACAAGCGGUCGGAAAGCAUUGACAAGGUUCGCCAGCUGCUCCCUUUGCCGAAGCAGACAUGUGAUAUUAUCACUUGUGAGCCAAUGGGAUCCUUGAUAGACACCAAGGGGAACAAAAUUGCAGGAUUUGACUCCAUUGAUAAGAAACAGGGUCUUCAGGUUUCAACAAAACAAAAGGUGUCCCCUUGGGAUUUAUUUGAAGGUCACAAAAAUCCUGCUCCUCUCUCCUGGGCAUGGUUUGGUACAGUUCGUGUCGACAGGAAAGUGAUCAAAUAUGAGGAGCAGCAGCAUCUCCUCCUGUACCACAUGCACAACAAACCCAAGCCACGGAGUUACUACCUCGAGCCCUUACCCCUUCCUCCAGAGGAGGAGGAGGAGGAAGAGCCCACCACACCUGUGUCUCAGGAACCAGAAAGAAAGUCAGGAGAGUUCUCUGAUCAGGGAAAACAUGCCAUGGAUGACGAGAAGAAGGCAAAGAGCAGGAAGCGAAAGUCAAAGUCAAGCUCAAGGGCUGAUGAAUAUCCCCAGAACAACUUAUACAGAGUGCCUCCCACCUAUUCCCCAGUCUCCUCUCAAGUGAUGCAUCCUCCGCAGGCUGCCUUGUGGGGUUACAGUAUCAUGGGCCAGCCACAGCAGCCGGGCUUCUUUGUGCAGAACCAGCCCCUCCCACCAGGUGGUUCCAGGCUGGAUCCGACAGGCUCCUUUGUUCCAACUAAUACGAAGCAAGCCCUGUCGAACAUGCUGCAGCGGCGCUCUGGCACCAUGAUGCAGCCCCCCUCUAUCCAUGCAAUCACGCCUCAGCAGCAGUUGCUCCAGAUGAAACUCCUGCAGCAAGAGCAGCAGCAGCAGCGGCUCCUCAGGCAGCAAGCACAGUCACGGUCUCUCCAACAGGAUGUCUGUAGCACUGCUGUAUCCCUUCAGGAUGGCUUUGACAACAUAAUGGGUCAGCCAAUGGACCAAGCUGCUAUUUUCUCUCCACAAGUUCGACCCCCGUCUCAGCUUUCACAGUACCCAGGGUUACAGCACGCUCAGAGCAUGCCUCAUGGAUACACCAUGUACAGCACUCAGAUGCCUUUGCAGCAGCAGCAGCCUGGCGGUGUAGUGCUCUCCCCCAGCUACAACCCCCGAACGUACUCAGCAGCGCAUUCCAGCCCCACUCUGAUGGAGAGGCUGCGGCAGAUGCAGCAGCAGCCCAGCGGAUACAUCCAACAGCAGGCAGCUGCUUAUGUCCAGCCUUUGGCAGGCUCGCAGCGAUUGAGCCAUCAGCCUUUGCAGCCAAAUUCACUGGUUGGAGGGGUACUGGACAGUGCAAUGACCGCAAGUCCUCAUCCAACCCUGAAUUCAGUACAGCUGCCUCCGGAGCCAGUGAGACAGAGACAGCAGCAAAUGCGACAGCAGAGAAUAUUUCAGUUGCAGCAGCAGCCAGGGCAGCAGCAGGCACUUGGUCUCCAGCCCGUGCAACCACAGCAGCCUUUGUUUCCAAGGCAAGGCUUACAGCAGACACAGCAGCAACAACAGACAGCUGCGCUGGUCAGGCAGCUCCAGAAGCAGCUCUCCAUGCAUCCCACAGGCUGGUCUCCAGGGGAACUCUGGUCACCUGCAGGACAAGUGCUGGUGGCCUCAUCAUGAUUUGCCGCAUGUUUUCUCCUCUUACUUCUACAGUCCUACAACAGGCAAAGUCCCCAGGGAACUGAGCACCUCUGGUGUGUGUUAGGUAACCAGCCACAGCCAGGAGUGAACCAGUACGGGCACCCGUCACACUUCUGAGUUGGAGAUGGGAGACGUAAGGCUAUGUUUGCACUGAAGAACAGAACAUUCAAAAGUCAAUGCACUAGUUAUUGCUAGAAAGCAGACUUUUGUUUUCUUCUCUUAUUAUUUCAAUAAUUAUUUUUUGUGCUGCAGUUGAUGUGAAUAUGUAACAAGGUGGGUUUGGGGGUAGAGGAUUCUUUUUGCAUUUAACUAGAUUUAAAUGUAUGAAUUUGUGGGCCUAUUUGAAGAAUGUUAUUGCAGAUUUUAUGAAUUUGGUGCUUUUUAGGUCCUAUUACUUUUAAGGUGGACAAAGAAUGCUGGACUUGUUUGUGGGAAACACUUCUUUUUAUAUAUUCUUUGUUUUGGGGUUUUUGUUGCUUUUUUUUUGUUUUGUUCCCCCUUUUUUUCCCCUUUUUUUUAAAAAAAAGAACUGCACUGGACCAAACUACUGAACUGAAAGGCACUUCUGAUUUUGGCAUAGAAGUUAAUUUGUUCAUUAGAAUGUUCACCUCUUUCUUUGUUGGUAGAACAAGCAUCAAUUUAAAUUGUGUUUAUUUGACUGCAGUUUUCAUAUGCACUUUAUAAAGUUCUUUGUUUAAAGUACCAAUUUUCUCUUGCUCUUAUUGUGGUAAGAAGGUGCUGAAGUGGGUUUUAUUGCUUGUAUUAGAACUUCUUAAAGUUUAUAUUAAAAGCCACAGUGUAAUGUUAAUAAACCUACUAGAAUUA